AGAGUUUGAUCAUGGCUCAGGAUGAACGCUAGCGGCAGGCCUAAUACAUGCAAGUCGAACGGUGCCUUCGGGCAUAGUGGCGAACGGGUGCGUAACGCGUAAGUAACCUGCCCCAAACUGGGGGGAUAGCCCGGCGAGAGCUGGGGUAAGCCCGCAUAGUCUAACAAGGUGGCAUCAUCUAGUUAGUAAAGCUUCGGUGGUUUGGGAGGGACUUGCGUCUGAUUAGCUAGUUGGCGGGAUAGCAGCCCACCAAGGCAAUGAUCAGUAGGGGCUCUGAGAGGAGCGGCCCCCACACUGGCACUGAGAUACGGGCCAGACUCCUACGGGAGGCAGCAGUAGGGAAUAUUGGGCAAUGGUGGCAACACUGACCCAGCCAUGCCGCGUGCAGGAUGAAGGCGCUCAGCGUUGUAAACUGCUUUUAUCUGGGAAGAACGGCAAGAGUGCGCUCUUGUGUGACGGUACCAGAGGAAUAAGCACCGGCUAACUCCGUGCCAGCAGCCGCGGUAAUACGGAGGGUGCAAGCGUUGUCCGGAUUUAUUGGGUUUAAAGGGUGCGUAGGCGGGUCUGUAAGUCUGGUCUGAAAGUUGGUGGCUCAACCAUCAAGGGUGACUGGAUACUGCAGGGCUUGAAAUUGUUGGAGGCCACCGGAACGGAUCGUGUAGCGGUGAAAUGCAUAGAUAUGAUCCAGAACACCAAUUGCGAAGGCAGGUGGCUACGACUGAUUUGACGCUGAGGCACGAGAGCAUGGGGAGCAAACAGGAUUAGAUACCCCGGUAGUCC
rnacentral:rRNA from 1 species